GUUGAGGUCUAUCCUGAAGGGGUUUUCUGUAGACCUGCCUUUUUGGAAAUGCCUCUUAGAGUAAAUAUGUUGAUUCCUUUAUUCACAGAACUGUGUGUCAAAACAAACAAAAAAAGAACUGUGUGUUAGAACUGUGGGCAGGAACUACAAGACAGAA